AGGCAGUAAAGGGCCUUUGGAAAAAGCCACCGCAGGCUAUUGCUUAAAAAUGAAAUACGCUGCCUCAGAAGAACAUUUCCACUUGGGGAUAUGAGUGAGAGCAGUUUAUUUUUAUAAAGAUGGCAUGGGAUGGAAAUUUGCUGUAAACCUGGAGGAGGGCGUUAUUGCGGGAGCUGUGCCUGCAGCAGCCCCCUGGCCCCACACUGCCAUACCUGGCCCGCAGCUUUAAGAAUACAAAUAACUGCAGCCUUCAGUGCCUUUGAAGGGGACGGCCUUGCUGCUCUUCCCUUGCUCUUUUAUGGACUUACUUGGCAGAUGAAAGUUAUCUCCAUCAAGGAAAUAGUCUUGGGUUUGGCCACUUUUGAUUUGUAAUGUAUUUGAUAUUGUUUAUAACACUGCUAAAUAAACAGAAUGAUUACCAUGGAUUUGACUCCCUCUAAAACAGAAGGAAAUACUGUGUUACAUGGAAAUACAUGUAAUUUACGUUUAAUAAUUAGUACUUAUUAUGCAG
rnacentral:lncRNA from 1 species